UACAGAGGUCUCGAGCGUUAGUCGGAAUCAUUGGGCUUAAAGCGUACGUAGGCGGAUAUGCAGGCGUCGUGUGAAAGCCCUCGGCUCAACCGAGGAAUUGCACGGCGAACCGCAUGUCUUGAGACAAGUAGGGGCUGUCGGAACGAUAGGUGGAGUGGUGAAAUGCGUUGAUAUCUAUCGGAACGCCGAUGGUGAAAACAGACAGCUGGGCUUGUUCUGACGCUGAGGUACGAAAGCGUGGGGAGCGAACAGG
rnacentral:rRNA from 1 species